CUACGACCGUACCGCAAACCGACACUGGUGCGCGAGAUGAGUAUUCUAAGGCGCUUGAGAGAACUCAGGAGAAGGAACUCGGCAAAUUGACACCGUAACUUCGGAAGAAGGUGUGCCCUAUUAGUGUGUAGUGAACAACGAAGCAUGAAUGGGUUGCAAAAAAUCGGUGGCUGCGACUGUUUAUUAAAAACACAGCACUCUGCAAACACGAAAGUGGACGUAUAGGGUGUGACGCCUGCCCGGUGCUGGAAGAUUAAAUGAUGGGGUGCAAGCUCUUGAUUGAAGUCCCAGUAAACGGCGGCCGUAACAAUAACGGUCCUAAGGUAGCGAAAUUCCUUGUCGGGUAAGUUCCGACCUGCACGAAUGGCGUAACGAUGGCCACACUGUCUCCUCCUGAGACUCAGCGAAGUUGAAAUGUUUGUGAUGAUGCAAUCUCCCCGCGGAAAGACGGAAAGACCCCAUGAACCUUUACUGUAGCUUUGUAUUGGACUUUGAACAGAUCUGUGUAGGAUAGGUGGGAGGCUUUGAAGCAGGGUCGCUAGAUCUUGUGGAGCCAACGUUGAAAUACCACCCUGGUGUGUUUGAGGUUCUAACCUAGGUCCAUUAUCUGGAUCGGGGACAGUGCAUGGUAGGCAGUUUGACUGGGGCGGUCUCCUCCCAAAGCGUAACGGAGGAGUUCGAAGGUACGCUAGUUACGGUCGGACAUCGUGACGAUAGUGCAAUGGCAUAAGCGUGCUUAACUGCGAGACUGACAAGUCGAGCAGAUGCGAAAGCAGGACAUAGUGAUCCGGUGGUUCUGUAUGGAAGGGCCAUCGCUCAACGGAUAAAAGGUACUCUGGGGAUAACAGGCUGAUACCGCCCAAGAGUUCAUAUCGACGGCGGUGUUUGGCACCUCGAUGUCGGCUCAUCUCAUCCUGGGGCUGUAGCCGGUCCCAAGGGUAUGGCUGUUCGCCAUUUAAAGAGGUACGUGAGCUGGGUUUAAAACGUCGUGAGACAGUUUGGUCCCUAUCUUCCGUGGGCGCUGCAGAUUUGAGGAAGCCUGCUCCUAGUACGAGAGGACCGGAGUGGACACACCUCUGGUGUAUCGGUUGUCACGCCAGUGGCAUUGCCGAGUAGCUAAGUGUGGAAGAGAUAACCGCUGAAAGCAUCUAAGCGGGAAACUCGUUUCAAGAUGAGAUCUGCCGGGGCCUUGAGCCCCCUAAAGAGUCGUUCAAGACCAGGACGUUGAUAGGUCAGGUGUGGAAGC
rnacentral:rRNA from 1 species